GGUUAUUUUGGUUAACCAGUUAAAAUAAGGAAAAAAAAUCAUGCUCCUUCAAAACCUAGGAUGCGUACUCGAUUUCGUCUAUCUCCUCCUCCAUAGCUUUGCACAGCCACAGCUCUAUUUCGUUGAAGUCACAGCUGCACAGCUUUCUACAGCCUGAAGAAGCUCCCCCCCACUUCGUCUUCUCCAUCUGAGGAGCAGAUUUCAGCCAAAACCCAGAAACCCACUUCGUCUUCUCCAGCUGCUUCCUCCAUCUCGUUAUGGAAGCUCAAAAAAGGGGAUCAACAAAAGGAAAGCGCAAAGUCGACAGUAAUGUGCAACAAUCAAGAGUUGGCCGAGAUGCAUUUUUUAAUUUCAUGUACAAGAAGAGAUUGCUAAUAAAUGGAGGAAAUUAAACCUUAAAGAGAAGGCUACAUAUGGUUCUGCCUUGGAAGGUUCGAGUGGGCCAAGGAUUAAAAUAUCAACCAUGUAAAUAAUAUAGGGCCUCCAAUUUACGGAUAUUUCGGGGGAUAUAUUAUUAUCGUCUUAGG